rnacentral:lncRNA from 1 species
UUCACAUUUGGUCACUUCCAAAUCUCGCUGUAUGGCUUCCUGGAAGACCUUCACCUCUUCAAUCGUGCUAAUCUGGCUUUUCCUUCCUGUCCAACGUUCAUUCCCUCCUGGCUCAUCAAAUCACCAAACCACCCAGGUGCAUAGAUGUGCACAGAAGUGCACACAAGCACACACACGCACGCACCUGUGAGUUCUGUCCCUCCCCAUGGAUGGCAAACUGGAAUCCACCUCAGGAGAUAAACUCUGGAAAACAAUUAGGUAAGAGCGCCCACUGGUGGUGGAGGCGACUCCUCUGUCCACAAGGCAGGCGGUUCCCUCUUGAUGUCUCACUGGAUCUGAGGCGAGGGUCGGACUACGCCAACA